rnacentral:lncRNA from 1 species
CAUACUUACUUUUCUACUAUGUUCAUGUGGUGUCACUUAAUCGAUGUAUGCAGUAUGCGAGGAGCAACAGGUGAGUUCAGUUCCUCAAACUCCGUUCUUUUAUUACAGGGGAUGUGAAGGCCAGGGGACUGCAACAGGUAUAAAUGGAAAAUCGUGAUCAGCCGGACGCUUUUCAAAAUAAUAUAUUCAAAAAACCAAGUGCUGUCUUCAUCAACAUACAUGUUAUUUAGUCUUUGACUUACUUUCACCAAAUCUACAUGGCUUCAAAUGACGAUGAUUGGUUUUUUGACUCUGUCAGAAAGUACGUAUAUCGCUGAUUUUGAAAAGUUUUGGGUCUCUUUUACUAAACUGUAAAGAGGUCCCUGUAAUCUUUUAUCAUAGCACAGGCACUUGUUUCUAUCAAUGGGCAUGAGACAUCAACAUCUACAUCUACAUAAUACUUCUUAAUUUCAAUAUGUUGAAGAUUAUAAGAAGGCACAUGUAUACUAGACUUCAUGGUUCAGCUAGCAAGCCAUCUUACCAAAGAUAUUACCUUUUUCUAUACUCAUUGCAAUUUGCCAAUCUGCUGUAAGGUUUGUUCAAGUAUAAGGCCAGUGGCGGAUCCAGAGGGGGUGUAGAGGGCGUACGCUCCCCCCCUUUUGCUUACUUUUUUUUUUGUAAACCGAUUAAUCAGACAAGACUUGGAGAACUUUGCCAUUUCCUGUGUAUUUGUUUUCAAUGCGGUAAUUCUUUACUUAUAAUGAUAUUUUUUUGCUGGUAUUUACUGAUUAUGUCAAACUCAUGUGAUUCGCUAUGGUGGAGUUGACCAGUUCGCUGUAAUAAAAUUAACUGUACCAUUUUCUUGCACCAGAUGCGCAUUUCGACAAUACAUGUCUCUUCAGUGAAUGCUCGUGGCCAAAAUAUUGAAAUCCAAAGCUUAUAUAAAAGAUGAAGAGCUAUAAUCCAAAAGUUCCAAAAAGUAUAGCCAAAUCCGUGAAAGGAAUCAGAGCUAUGCAUGAGGGAGAUACAUUCCUUAAUUUAUAAUAAUUUCUAUCAUUUUGUAACAGCAAAUUUUAAUAACCACAAAAAAUCUGUAUUGCUUGCCAUGCCGAAGUACUCUACUGCUGGAUACCCUCGGGGACUAAUAGUCCACCAGCAGAGGCAUCGACCCAGUGGUAGUAAUAAAAUUAACGGUACCAAUUUUCUUGUAAAAAAUGUCACUCAGUCAUUUUGAAAUUCAAAUUACAGUAACACAUGGAUAGACUGAGGAUGACAAUCAUGACAUCUUCAAAAGCGAAACAGGAUUGAGCAAGAACGAAAUUGACAGAAAGUAAUACUCUAUUACACUUUCAUGAUAAAAAGUUCCACAGCAAUAUUAUUAUUUAUAACCUACAAAAACAUGUGUAAACCCAAACGCCCCAGCUAUAAUUUUAACUAGAAAUAACAUAGCUGAAUGAUGAUCCCCAGUCAGUAUAAGCUCUAGAUAGAUUUAAAGUCUAAGGAACGAACCAUUUGUUUGAGAAGGCAGUCUGAGAUAUAUAUUUGAAAGAAAUAAUCUGACUCUGGUUUUUGCCUUUUAAAAACAAAAAUUCUGGCUGUAUCUGGAUUGAAAACAAUAAUCUUAAAAUUGUCCACUUUUUGCUAUUAGAAACAAAAAUUUCCAACAGAAUUAUUUAGCAUUAAAUAAACAUAAAAAAAUUGGCGUAUUUUUUGGGGGGCAGGGUUUGCAUGUGUGACUGGAAUGUCUGUUUCGCAGAACUGAUAUAUUAAAUACUUUUUUCAAGACCAAACUGCAACCGGCUGCUGGGUGUGGCCUUUCUGUCUCUAUUUGUCGACCGUCAUUCAUAAACUUGUUGUCAUUUUAGACUCAUUCGUAGCCUUUAGUUAAUUGUGAACCCCCUCUAUACCUUAGUAUUGGAAGCCACCUUAAAUCGUGUCGGUCGUAUUGUAAAUUUCAUUGAAUACCCGGGCGUAUAUAUCUGGUUUACAACAAGAAAUCUGUGAGCUUAUUCUAACUUAACAUACAACAAACGAGAAUUUUCCAUGUUUAUUUUUUACUGACAAGUCCCACAUGCAAUAUAUAUUAUAGCAGUACAUAGCUUUGGAUGUAUACAUACUAUUAUUUUAUGAUAGACAAUUAAUAGAGAGAAUACAGCAUCAAAAAUGUCCAACCUUACACUUUACAGCAACUGUAAAAUAUACAUGCCCAAAUUAGGAACCGUCUAAAAAGUACAUUUUAUGUUUUUUAGCCCCCAAAAGGUCCGAAAAUCUUUAAAAAUUUCGCCCCCUUUCUAAAAUCCUGGAUCUGCCCCUGAAGGCUAAGGUUAGGUCUCAGAGAUAGAAGAUAGGGAUUGGUAAAAUUGAGAAUGGAAAUGGGGAAUGUGCCAAAGAGACAACAACCUGACCAUAGUGCAGACAACUGCAGAAGGUCACCAACAGGUCUUCAAUGCAACGAGAAAUUCUCGCACCCGGAGGCGCUUAUCAUUCAAUGGUCAAUUUGAGACAAAUCAAUCCAUUAAAUAAGCAUGACGACAUUUUAAUUUGUAUAGAUAUCAAUUCCUGAUUUGUUUGCCUGAUUCAUCUAGUACCUAUUAGCCCUGAUACUUGUUCACCCUAAUUUUUUUUAUUGUUGUCUAGUAGUUGCGUAAUUUUUAUUCUUUGAACAGAGUUUGGUAAUGUCAUAAAAAAUUUCACGGAAUAUUUGUAUUGCCGCAACCAAAAAACAAUUUUACAUUUGGGGCUUCUUCUAGAUAUGGGAUAAAAAUUCUAUGUACAUUGUAGGAGAGAAAAACAUUCCAGAACUUGUUUCUAUGUAUAUUUCUCAUACUUAUCCACUGUCAUGCACUCCUUCUUUGUAGUUUGUCUGUAUUUUGUUGCCAUAACGUUUAUUGUUUAUGUAAUAGUGUUAGUCAGUGCUUAUAAUAUAAAGUUAUCUUAUAUUUUAAACUGAUAAUUGAUCAAAAACUGAGGGUGACUUUUUAUCAGCUUUUAAUUACAAUGUAUAUCUUUUUUUGGAUAAUACUCUUUCUAUGAAUCCAUAGUUCAAAAACAACAAUUGGGAGGACCAUGCAACUUUGGGGUUUUUCAUUAAUAAUAGUCUAGACCGGGGACUGUGUGAUUACCAAGCAGCUGCUAUAUAGAUAGUACAUCUUACACUGUCACUUUUCCCCUAGUAAUGAACUUCUGAUAGUGUCUUUAAUGGUAAAUUAACAAUUGAUAUGAUGAAUAUAAUUAUAUUUAGCCAUGUAUAACAGUUUUCAGUAAACUUCUUGCAUCAAAUUGAAUAUACAUCUGUACAAUAGACAUAUUAACAUUGGCAUAGUGAUAAGUAUUUCUCUUUCAAUGCACUAAUGGUUAACUAGAAUUGGAAUAAGAGGAGAUGUUGAAUGAACAGAAACAAAAUAGUAACACAACAGUAAUACCCCCCAUCCCCACCCCACCCCCAAGAAAAAAGACAAUAUUAUAAAAAAAAAACAACAACAACAGUACAUUAUAUACAUGAUACAUAAAAUUGAGAAUGGAAAUGGGGAAUGUGCCAAAGAGACAACAACCCGACCAUAGAAAAAAAAAAAUAAAAAAAAAAAAAAAACAACAGCAGAAGGUCAGCAACAGGUCUUCAAUGUAGCGAGAAAUUCCCGCACCCGGAGGGUGUAUAUAUGUCAAGCUAGAAAUUGUCCAAAUGUUGACAAUUUUGGAAGAUUUCAGGAUUUUGUACCAAAGUCUUUGAACUCCAUAAUAGACAAAAAAAACUUUGAUAACCAAGGAUAAACAAUGACAGUAGAGUUUAUCUGUAAAUAAAAGUAUUAGAAAGUAGUUUGAGUAAGUUCAUGUAAUAUGCUGAUAUAUGCAGAAUUACGGUAUUAUUUAAUAUAUUGUGGUAGUUAUUGUUAUUUCUUAGAAUAUAUGUGAUGAGUACUAAUACACUAAUCAGAGCCUGACUGUUAAGUUACAUUUUGUAAUUAAAAUCUGUAGAAAAUUUGAUAUUUUUCAGCUACAGAAACCUGUUCAUGUAUGAUUUACAACACUCUGUAACAUGUAUGGACUGGGUAGAUGAUAAAAGUAAGUUAUAAAAACAAUUCUAGACCCUUUGAAGUUAGAGUACAUGACAGUUAUAUGAUGCGCUAUGUGUGUGUCAGCAUUUCAGUGGUAUCAAUGUAGAUUGUAGAAUUGAAAAUUAUCGUACACAAAUCAUGUAGUGACAGAACUUACUAACCAAAAGGAUCUAUUUUUCGAUGCCCUACCUACAAUAGUAGAGGGGCAUUAGUUAGCAAUACACAGUUAGGAAAAAAACUUAAAAUUGACACUCAUGAUUUUUAAACACCCUCUUUAUCAUGUUUAUCUUCUUUUCUAACAAAUAAGGCUUAAUAUUUGUGUUAUGCAUGUGUAUAUUCAUAGAAAGAGAAUCUUCCAUAGAUUUGAUUUCUAAUGGUUAUAAUGAAGAAAUAUAAUCUCUUUUUGGUGUAACCAUGGCAACAAUCUGCAUUAAUUUGAUACAAAGUAUAAGGAAAAUAUGGAUUGUCAAACAGAUAAAUGCCCUAUAAAACAUGCUAAAACAAUCUAAAUGUUCAUAUAAACCCACUUAAAAGGCUAUAUUAUUCUUCAGUUAUCUAAAAAUCAAUUUUAUUGUACAAAAACUUUCUUUUUAAAAAAAAUCACCAUGGCCAUAAUGUGAAACUGAACUUCUAACUGUGUAUUGGUACCUUAUGUUUUCUGGUUUGUGGGUCUGUUAGUCCAUCUAUCCCACUUCUGUCCUAAGUUUUUGGUCAAGGUAAUUUUUGAUGAAGUAGAAGUCCAAUCAACUUGAAACUUAGUACACUUGUCCCUGUGAUAUGAAUCCUAUUAUUUAAAUGCCAAAUUAGAUUUUUGACCCCACUUUCAUGGUCCACUGAAAAUAGAAAAUGAUAGUGAGAGUGGGGCAUCCAUGUACUAUGGACACAUUCUUGUUUAUACAUAAUUUUAUACAUAAAAAUGAGAAUGUAUGGUAUUUAUUAUAGAGAUUAUACAACAAACUAGUCAAUCAACAAAAUAUAAUAGUAGCUACAUUUUAUUAUAUUAGCCUUUACAAUUGGACAGUGCCUCACAAUCAUACAUGUCAAAGGUCAAUUUCUUAUUGAAAGAAAAAAAUCAGAAGUAAAAACUGACCAAAUGUUCACAAAGUAGACUUUUUAAAAGUUCAGAAGUGUUAUAAUUAAUGUCAGACUAGCAGUCAAACCAAAGGCAUGCCUCUUAAUAUUCAAAGUCUUGACUGUUGUGAAUAAUUCCAAAUGAUCUGAAAUUAGCAUUGAAUUUUUAAAAUAGAAACAAUUAAUAUAUUAUCAAAGCUACCAGCACUGUUGAAGGCCAUGGAACAGCAUUUAUCUGGUUUUUGAAAUGACAUGACACCGUAAUUCAUCAAUGAUUAUAAAAGCCACAAUUUAUUACUUAAUUAAAAAUAGAUGAAGAGGUACACAUCAAGUCUACAUAUACUGUACAUCUACUUUACAAACCUCUAUUUAAGAUAUUGAUGAUUUGAAAGACUUUUCUUGCAGAUUGGUUGUUGCAAACAUCAAGUGAUGCAAGAAAUGAGAUAUUAGAGUUGUCUGUCCCUGAUAAGCUUUU